rnacentral:misc_RNA from 1 species
AGCGUCGCCGGUCCGGUACCAUCCGCCAUCUAUUCGUUCGGUGGUCUUGUCGGGCUUGCCGAAAUAGCCCUGAAAGAAAGAUCCACCGCGUACGAGCAGUUCGCCGUCCGGUGAAACCUUCCAUUCCAGCGCCGCUGUUGCGGGNNNNNNNNNNNNCGACGGUUUCGAGGUCGUAGCGUUCGCCCUUGUGAAUCGUCAUGAUGCCGAUCUCGGUCGAACCGUAAAUAUUGCGCAAGGGUACGCCGAUGGCGUGAAACAGCCGGAACACAUCGGGCGCCAUGGUUGAUCCGCCGCUCAGCGCGACCUUCACGCG